rnacentral:rRNA from 1 species
UACGUGGGCAGCGAGCGUUGUUCGGAGUUACUGGGCGUAAAGAGUGCGUAGGCGGUUUUCUAAGUUUGGUGUGAAAUCUCCCGGCUUAACUGGGAGGGUGCGCCGAAGACUGGAAGGCUAGAGUAUGGGAGAGGUAAGCGGAAUUCCUGGUGUAGCGGUGAAAUGCGUAGAUAUCAGGAGGAACACCUGCGGUGUAGACGGCUUACUGGACCAUAACUGACGCUGAGGCACGAAAGCGUGGGUAGCAAACAGG